CGUAGGUGGCAAGCGUUGUCCGGAUUUAUUGGGUUUAAAGGGUGCGUAGGCGGUUCCAUAAGUCAGUGGUGAAAUACAAUAGCUUAACUAUUGAGGUGCCAUUGAUACUGCGGAACUUGAGUACAGACGAGGUAGGCGGAAUUGACGGUGUAGCGGUGAAAUGCUUAAAUAUCGUCAAGAACACCGAUAGCGAAGGCAGCUUACUAGACUGUAACUGACGCUGAGGCACGAAAGUGUGGGGAUCAAACAGGAUUAGAUACCCUGGUAGUCCACACUGUAAACGAUGAUUACUCGAUGUUGGCGAUACACAGCCAGCGUCUUAGCAAAAGCGAUAAGUAAUCCACCUGGGGAGUACGCCGGCAACGGUG
rnacentral:rRNA from 1 species